rnacentral:rRNA from 1 species
GAUGAACGCUGGCGGCGUGCUUAACACAUGCAAGUCGAGCGAUGAAGUUUCCUUCGGGAAACGGAUUAGCGGCGGACGGGUGAGUAACACGUGGGUAACCUGCCUCAUAGAGUGGAAUAGCCUUCCGAAAGGAAGAUUAAUACCGCAUAACGUUGAAAGAUGGCAUCAUCAUUCAACCAAAGGAGCAAUCCGCUAUGAGAUGGACCCGCGGCGCAUUAGCUAGUUGGUGGGGUAACGGCCUACCAAGGCGAUGAUGGGUAUCCGGCCUGAGAGGGUGAUCGGACACAUUGGGACUGAGAUACGGCCCAG